UCUGUCCUCUCUCUCUCUUUCUCUCAAUAUAUUAUGAGAGAGAUUUUUAAUAUAAUUUUUAGAGAGAAGGAAUUCUUGGUGGGAUUGUGCCCAAGAGGACAAGCACUUCUCAUCUCUCUCAACCACCCAUUUUGUUCCAAGAUGCUAUGGCGAAACUGCCCUCGACACUCAUCAAAUUCCCUUGUAAAUCGAAGGUCAUUUUGGGUGUUUAAAAGAAUUAUAAGCUAUGGUGAAGAAGAAGAAGAAUAUUACAAUGUAAUGUAAUUCUCUCUCUCCCACUCUCACUCUACAACAUUUUCCUUCACUGAGUAGAAACGAGGCAGACAGGAUGGAGCCAGGCAAUUGUAGUUAUAGUCCUGUACUUACAAUUUUAGUUUUAGAUUUUUCAUAUACUAAUCCUUUUCGUUGAAUCCUUGUUAAAUUUCAACCUGUUGAGAUUUUAAGGAAGAGAAAGAAAAGCAGUAUUAAAAUAAGAGCCAUUCAUCAUUCUAGCAUAUCGGGUGGAGAAUCUGAGUAUUAUCUAUUUAUGUGUUUAAAUAAACUGAGGAAAGAAGAAAGAGAAACAUAUAUUUGCAGAUCUGAUUAUAUUUACAGGAAACUUUAAAAGCUUCUCCAUGUGAUUUCUUUCGAUCUGGUGAAGGCAUGUUUACAAGUUUGUGAGAUCAUUAGUUAUAUACUUAGUGAUCUCUGUAUAUAUAUUUCAUGGUUUGUUUUUUGAGACUGAAGUUUUCGUUCUCUCUUUCUUUUUACACUGUCAAUCAAUUUUGAUCUUUAGAACUACUA